rnacentral:rRNA from 1 species
UACGUAGGGUGCAAGCGUUAAUCGGAAUUACUGGGCGUAAAGCGUGCGCAGGCGGCUAUGCAAGGCAGAUGUGAAAUCCCCGGGCUCAACCUGGGAACUGCAUUUGUGACUGCAUGGCUAGAGUACGGUAGAGGGGGAUGGAAUUCCGCGUGUAGCAGUGAAAUGCGUAGAGAUGCGGAGGAACACCGAUGGCGAAGGCAGCCCCCUGGGCCAAUACUGACGCUCAGGCACGAAAGCGUGGGGAGCAAACAGG